AUUCAAAACACUUCAGUAACAGAAAAAAUGGUGGAGCAAGAAAAACCACUCUUGACGUUGACCGAGUUAACGGUCGAUAUUUUAAGUGUCCCGGUCGGAUUGCUGCAGUUUUUUUAAGAUUGAGUUUCCGACGCAUCAAAGCUGGUCAGCUUUUGUGACGCUCGCGUCCCGUGAUCUUCCGGGGAAAAAGCUCCAGCACGCAGAAGUCCGACGUACCCAGUAAACGGCACCUCGUUUGUACCUCGGAAACGAUAGGAGCAAAAGUUUACCAAAUUCAACCAGAGGCAAGCCCCCACUCUUCUGGAUCCACCGUAUUUGAAGAUCUCGCCCAUUCGCCCGCCAAAGUUGCUGUUUCGCUUGGCCCGGAUCUGCUAACUCUGUCGGAAACCCGGAAAAUUGCUUUUGGAAUGAUCCAAGCAAUAUUGAUUGUUUCCGUUUAAAAUAUAUACAUACUCUUUUUUUAGCAUGAAAAUUAA